CCUACGGGAGGCUGCAGUGGGGAAUAUUGCACAAUGGGGGAAACCCUGAUGCAGCGACGCCGCGUGAGUGAAGAAGUAUCUCGGUACGUAAAGCUCUAUCAGCAGGGAAGAAAAUGACGGUACCUGACUAAGAAGCCCCGGCUAACUACGUGCCAGCAGCCGCGGUAAUACGUAGGGGGCAAGCGUUAUCCGGAUUUACUGGGUGUAAAGGGAGCGUAGACGGUGAUGCAAGUCAGAAGUGAAAGCCCGGGGCUCAACUCCGGGACUGCUUUUGAAACUGUGUGACUGGAGUGCAGGAGAGGUAAGCGGAAUUCCUGGUGUAGCGGUGAAAUGCGUAGAUAUCAGGAGGAACACCAGUGGCGAAGGCGGCUUACUGGACUGUAACUGACGUUGAGGCUCGAAAGCGUGGGGAGCAAACAGGAUUAGAUACCCCAGUAGUC
rnacentral:rRNA from 1 species